GAUGAACGCUGGCGGCGUGCCUAAUACAUGCAAGUCGAGCGAACGGACGAGAAGCUUGCUUCUCUGAUGUUAGCGGCGGACGGGUGAGUAACACGUGGAUAACCUACCUAUAAGACUGGGAUAACUUCGGGAAACCGGAGCUAAUACCGGAUAAUAUUUUGAACCGCAUGGUUCAAAAGUGAAAGACGGUCUUGCUGUCACUUAUAGAUGGAUCCGCGCUGCAUUAGCUAGUUGGUAAGGUAACGGCUUACCAAGGCAACGAUGCAUAGCCGACCUGAGAGGGUGACCGGCCACACUGGAACUGAGACACGGUCCAGACUCCUACGGGAGGCAGCAGUAGGGAAUCUUCCGCAAUGGGCGAAAGCCUGACGGAGCAACGCCGCGUGAGUGAUGAAGGUCUUCGGAUCGUAAAACUCUGUUAUUAGGGAAGAACAUAUGUGUAAGUAACUGUGCACAUCUUGACGGUACCUAAUCAGAAAGCCCCGGCUAACUACGUG
rnacentral:rRNA from 1 species